ensembl:misc_RNA 7SK 7SK RNA
AGAUGUGAGGGUGAUCUGGCUGCGACAUCUGUCACCCCAUUGAUCACCAGGGUUGAUUUGGCUGAUCUGGCUGGCUGGCUAGACGGGUGUACCCUUCCUCCCUUGCCACUCCAUGUGCAUCCCUCCUGAGGCUGUGCUCUUGGUCAAAGAGGAUGGCCUUCCCCAAAUAGAGACUUCAGUUUAGGGUAUACAAGUAGCUAUGCUCCCCUGCUAGAACCUCCAAAUAAGCUCUAAAGGUCCUUUGCUUUCUCCUUUUUUGUGAGACUCCAUUCAAUAGUUCUUGUAAGGUGGGGUUAAUUGUGGCAAAUUCCUUUAGUUUUGGGAUAUUUGAGAAAACCUUUAUUUCUCCCUCAUAUU